rnacentral:rRNA from 1 species
CCGCGGGAUUAGAGUUUGAUCCUGGCUCAGGAUGAACGCUAGCGGCAGGCUUAAUACAUGCAAGUCGAGGGGCAGCGCGGGUAGCAAUACCUGGCGGCGACCGGCAAACGGGUGAGGAACAUGUACGCAACCUUCCUUUAACUGGAGAAUAGCCCCUCGAAAGAGGGAUUAAUACUCCGUAACAUAUUGAUAAGGCAUCUUAUUAAUAUUAUAGCUCCGGCGGUUAAAGAUGGGCGUGCACCUGAUUAGAUAGUUGGCGGGGUAAUGGCCCACCAAGUCUGCGAUCAGUAACUGGUGUGAGAGCACGACCAGUCACACGGGCACUGAGACACGGGUCCGACUCCUACGGGAGGCAGCAGUAAGGAAUAUUGGUCAAUGGACGCAAGUCUGAACCAGCCAUGCCGCGUGGAGGAUUAAGGCCCUCUGGGUUGUAAACUCCUUUUAUCUGGGAAGAAAUGUACUUCUUCUUGAGUACUUGACGGUACCAGAGGAAUAAGCACCGGCUAACUCCGUGCCAGCAGCCGCGGUAAUACGGAGGGUGCAAGCGUUAUCCGGAUUCACUGGGUUUAAAGGGUGCGUAGGUGGGCAGGUAAGUCAGUGGUGAAAUCUCCGGGCUUAACCCGGAAACUGCCGUUGAUACUAUUUGUCUUGAAUGUUGUGGAGGUAAGCGGAAUAUGUCAUGUAGCGGUGAAAUGCUUAGAUAUGACAUAGAACACCAAUUGCGAAGGCAGCUUACUACACAAUUAUUGACGCUGAGGCACGAAAGCGUGGGGAUCAAACAGGAUUAGAUACCCUGGUAGUCCACGCCCUANACGAUGAUUACUCGACGUGUGCGAUACACUGUACGCGUCUGAGCGAAAGCAUUAAGUAAUCCACCUGGGAAGUACGUUCGCAAGAAUGAAAACUCAA